rnacentral:rRNA from 1 species
GCAGCCUGAUGCAGCAACGCCGCGUGAGGGACGACGGCCUUCGGGUUGUAAACCUCUUUUAGUAGGGAAGAAGCGAAAGUGACGGUACCUGCAGAAAAAGCACCGGCUAACUACGUGCCAGCAGCCGCGGUAAUACGUAGGGUGCAAGCGUUGUCCGGAAUUAUUGGGCGUAAAGAGCUCGUAGGCGGUUUGUCGCGUCUGCUGUGAAAACUGGAGGCUCAACCUCCAGCCUGCAGUGGGUACGGGCAAACUAGAGUGCGGUAGGGGAGAUUGGAAUUCCUGGUGUAGCGGUGGAAUGCGCAGAUAUCAGGAGGAACACCGAUGGCGAAGGCAGAUCUCUGGGCCGUAACUGACGCUGAGGAGCGAAAGCGUGGGGAGCGAACAGGAUUAGAUACCCUGGUAGUCCACGCCGUAAACGUUGGGAACUAGAUGUGGGGGCCAUUCCACGGCUUCCGUGUCGCAGCUAACGCAUUAAGUUCCCCGCCUGGGGAGUACGGCCGCAAGGCUAAAACUCAAAGGAAUUGACGGGGGCCCGCACAAGCGGCGGAGCAUGCGGAUUAAUUCGAUGCAACGCGAAGAACCUUACCAAGGCUUGACAUAUACGAGAACGCUGCAGAAAUGUAGAACUCUUUGGA